GGAACGGGAUCCGCUCGGGAGUCUCCGAGCAGCGGGAGCGGAGUGCCCCUGGAGUCAUUCCUGAGGCACCACGGGACUGCAGGGAUGCCACAAACCCAGAGUCUGUAGGCACCUUCACCACAAAGAAGACCAGCUGGAGAGGAUCAAUGGAGCGUCGUUGGGAUCCAUGGAGUGGUUUGGCAUCACCUGGCAGUGUGCACAGGUGGAGUCCUACCAAACAGACACAUACCACUGCUGAAGAGAUGAAUCAUGCACUCGUGGAG